rnacentral:snoRNA from 1 species
GGAUCAAUUGAUGAGAAAAAUAAAACUGCAACAAUAUGAUUGGAUUUAUUCCGUGAUUACUUGUAUUUAAGUCUCUGAUGAUC